rnacentral:tRNA from 1 species
GGUUGUGGCUCAGUGGUAGAGUGCUUGCCUAGCAUGUGUGAGGCACUGGGUUCGGUUCUCAGAAUCA